rnacentral:rRNA from 1 species
GACGAAGGGGGCUAGCGUUGUUCGGAAUUACUGGGCGUAAAGCGCGUGUAGGCGGUUGCCAAAGUCGGGUGUGAAAGCCUUGAGCUCAACUCAAGAAUUGCACUCGAUACUUGGUGACUAGAGGACCGGAGAGGAUAGUGGAAUUCCAGUGUAGUGGUGAAAUACGUAGAGAUUGGGAAGAACACCAGUGGCGAAGGCGGCUAUCUGGACGGUUUCUGACGCUAAGACGCGAAAGCGAUGGGGAGCAAACAGGGAUUAAGAAACCCCGAUG